CCUAUUUUUCCUGGCGCUUGCGACUCCUUCCCCUUCUUACUUAUGCUCGUGACUCCUAGAGCAGAGCAGCAGCCGCCGCUCCCUCUCCAUGCCUGUUCGGGCCCUGCAUCUCUAUGCGCUACUCCUCUCCACACUGCUACAGGAGCCGCCGCUCCAGCUUCACUCCUCUCUAGACCUGCCUCUCAACGAAGGACAUGCGGGUCCUCCUCCAGCACGGGCGGCAGUGGGUGGCCAAGGGCGACCAUAUCUGAUGGAUGGAUCCAGAUCUGAUCGACGGCAGCCAGAUCCAUUGGAAGGUAGCGAUAGUAGGGCAGGUACAGCUCUCUCCAUCUACCUCUCUCUUCCCCUCUACACCUCUCUCAGACUUUCCUGCCCCCCUUAGAUGAUCUGCGGGCGGUGGGACUUUGGACCAGGUAGAUCUAGGGGACACCGCGACAGGUGCAUGGAGGGCUACAUGUGAUUUGCAUGGAGGAUACCGUAGACGGAGGAUCUACAUGCUGGACCUGAAUCCAGAACCUCAAGUAAUUUUCUAAUUUUAUUUUUUUAUUUUUCCUAGUAGGUGUUGUAAUGUGUCCACCUCCAAAAAUACUAUUUCCAUAUGCAGGCUUCAAAAGGUGUUCGCCUCCAAAAAGGUAUUUUGGAGGCGGUCCUUUUGACCGUCUCAGUAAAAAGCAAUUAACGGAGACCUUUGAUUAUAGGCGGACUGCUUCCUCGCCUGCGCAAAGCAAUUUUGAUCACCCACCAAAAAAUUACUAUAGUAGUGCUCCUCCAGUGAGGUGGUUUGUGCUUAAAAGAGGACACAUUAAUGAUAGGUUCCCUUCCCCUAAUGGUGUAUCCUCAUCCAUGACAUGACAUGUCAGGUGGAGUGAGCGAUAGGUGAUGGUCUCCAUGGCAUGGCCUACCACGGUCAUGGCCUCUCGUGUAGUGUGGCUUGUGCCGAUAGAUCAGGCCCCUCUGAGCCUGGAUCUAGCAUCUCUUAUUAGUCUAGAUCUAUGCUAUUGGAUCUUGUUGUGUCACACAAAUGAUGUCAGAGGCCAUAGCUAAGCAUGGCAAUGAAUGGCCCUGGGCUCAAUGUGUGUAUGUUGAACGACACAACAUUGGUGUGGCUACACAUGAACUUCACGGCAAUUGUGGCGGGCAACCGUGUUGCGGGUGAUGCCUAGCCUUGGCUAGGAGGGGGGUACAACACCAUGCUUAGCACACUGGUUCCAUGGGUUACCGUGCGACAUGACAAUGCUCGUGGGCAUGUUUCCCAUAUGUGGUUGUGUGGUGACGUCAUCUGCAUGUGGUAUCCCAUGGUACUGCAUGGUCCCAUCAUUGUCCUCAACAACCGUGCCACCGUGCUAGUGCCCAUUUGAAAAAUGUUAUGGUGACAUCAUCUUAUUCAUGGGAGAUUAGUGAACCAAGGGCCGCAUAACUUGAAAGCAAUCACUUCUUGUGUAUUGAUGCAAUUUAGAUGGUGUGAUCGUUAGGGAAAUAUUGAGCUUUGGUAGUCUUUGACAUAGUGAUCUGAUUUCAUUCUUGGUACAUUUUUUGUUACACAAAUAUAUGCUUAAAUUAUUUCAUAUAGGAUAUUAGGGAAAACAUUAGUUUUCAUUUGAGAAUUGCAUUCAAUUUAUAACUUAAUGGAAUAGGAAUUGUACUAUGAGAUUUCUUGAAAAUAGAGUUCUGAAAUAUGUUGCUUGGUACUUGACUACUUUGCAAAUCAUCUUAUAAUUUGAGAUUGUCUAGUUAUAAAUUAUUGAACAUGCUAAUGACGGCUAGGGUCUAGGUGCACUAGAUGCGAUUAUGAUCAAUUGAAGGGCCCCUUACGGGUAUAACAAGGUUCUAGAUAUGGACUUAAUAUAAGUAUGAAGUUACCUGAGUUGAUCUGGGAUAGUGUAGUUAUAUGUUUGCUGGAACUACUGCUGUUGUAUCUGUAAGGUCCCCUUCCAUUGAAUAGAAUUGCAUCUAGUGCUCCAACACCCUAGCCAUCAUCUAGCCCAUUCCUCAGUUUCUAAUUGGACAAUUAUUACCAAAUUAAAAGAUGAAUAUAUAGUCUUAAGUACCAAGCAAAUACUGCACAACUCUACUUUUCGUGAAAUCCUUUAAACUCUGAUUCUUAUUCUAUUACGUGAAAAAUCAAAUGUGAUUAUCAAAUGAAUAUUAAUAUUUAUUCUUAUAUCCUAUAAGGUAAAAAAAAUCUGAGGAUACAUCUGUCUAACAAAAAAUAUGCUGAAAUUAAGGGAUCAUGUGUCAAAGACAAAGAAAGUUCAAUUUUUUCAUGACUACCUCCAUAACAGCACACCAUCUGAAUUGGUGCACUAGGCAUAAGGAUAACUGCUUGUAACUUACCUACAAGUUACAGUGUGGCUAUUGGUGUACCAAAUGAACUGGGUGAUAUCACUAUAGAGGAGGUCAAAGGGACCCUCGUGGUGGCAUGGUGUUGAAGGUGAUGGUGCUAUGUAGUUGUCACACUAGGCUGCACGCAGAUGACUUUAUCACACAUGCAUGGAACUGUCGUUAUGGUGCUCGUGGUGCUGUUACCCCUACUGGUGUCUAUGGCUCUAAGGUGCUGUAUCCAGGAGCUUGAUAUGGUGCCACUGCUGCCACAAAUUAGCCAACAAGUGGAGUUCAUCGAUGUCAUGCACAAUCAUGGUCGACAUCUGUGCUCACGUGCCACAAUGAAAUCCAAUGGUAUAGUUCUGGCCAAAGAUAUGCUUGAUCCAGGCUCUGAAGGGCCAGAUCUAUCCGCAUAGGCUGCACGAGAGACAUUGACUAUAUUGAUGGUCAAGCCAUGCCAUAUACAUUGUCACUCUAUCUCACGCUCCACUAGGGAAGGGAGCCCAUUAUAGCUGAACCUGGUCUCUGACAAGAAAUCAAAAUCAAUUUGUUUCCCUAUCCUUGUAUAACUGCAGAAAUAAAAGAAACAAUGUCUCUAUAGUAAUGUUUGCAUUGCACAUCCCUUACCAACCUCAUCGUGUGGCACUUCAACCAUGAUCAAGCCUUAAGUUUUAGAUGGUGCACUGGAUGUUGGAAAUUACAGCGUGUUAAUUAAUUUUGCAGUUCUGUGUUAAUUAGAAUCACCAUAUUAAUUGUGUAGGUUUGAAUAUAAUCAAUUCCUGAAAUGAUGCUGUUUCGGUCAUUGUGAAGCAGGCAUAGUUUGUUAUUUAUUUUGAUGUGCUUGCACUGCAAUAGAAACCUCUCAUGUACUAGGAGCAGUGAACUCAUCCUGUUCAUAGUUUAAUAUGGCGAUGCCCUUCUGUUCAGUCUGACAUCAAUUGAGCUUUACUUGAUUAUUUGUCCAAUUAGCUGCUCCAAUUUUUUGUUUUUGGAGAACACACUUUGAUUUUGUUGCUUUCUUUGAAUGAAAACAUGUAAUGAUGGAGGAGUCAGAGAAAGCUCAAAGCCAUGUGAUGAAGCAGGUAACAGCGAGCCAUGCGCAGGUACACCAUUGGCACCAACAGAUGUAGGCAAUGCGAUGUUUCCAGCAUUAGUUUCGUGUUUAUGAUUACUAGAACAAUUGGUGUAUCUUGUUCAUAUCAGAUUACUGAUUUGCAUGUGUCUAUCUAGCUUUUGGUUAUUUUGGUCUGUGUAUGCUAGCAGCUAUCGGAAACAUGCAUGUUUCCAUUUGACACAAGCUUUCGAUUGUUGAUAUACGUUUAGAUCUUUGAAAGAGCACCCUUGUAUCGGGGCAAAACUUUUAUUUCUAGCACUUGCAGUGAGCUUGGUUGAAGUAAUGCAACAACUGAGAG